UACGGAGGAUGCAAGCGUUAUCCGGAUUUAUUGGGUUUAAAGGGUACGUAGGCGGAGAAUUAAGUCAGUGGUGAAAUCCUGCAGCUUAACUGUGGAACUGUCAUUGAUACUGGUUUUCUUGAAUGUAGUUGAGGUAGGCGGAAUGUGUAAUGUAGCGGUGAAAUGCUUAGAUAUUACACAGAACACCGAUUGCGAAGGCAGCUUACCAAGCUAUGAUUGACGCUGAGGUACGAAAGCGUGGGGAGCGAACAGG
rnacentral:rRNA from 1 species